rnacentral:rRNA from 1 species
AUUGAACGCUGGCGGCAGGCCUAACACAUGCAAGUCGAGCGGAGCGGCGGACGGGGGAGUAAUGCUUAGGAAUCUGCAUGGUCGUGGGGGAUAACGACCGGAAACGGGCGCUAAUACCGCAUACUAUCAGAUGAGCCUAGGUCGGAUUCGCUAGUUGGUGGGGUAAGGGCAUACCAAGGCGACGACCCGUAACUGGUCUGAGAGGAUGAUCAGUCACACUGGGACUGAGACACGGCCCAGACUCCUACGGGAGGCAGCAGUGGGGAAUAUUGGACAAUGGGCGAAAGCCUGAUCCAGCCAUGCCGCGUGUGUGAAGAAGGUCUUCGGGUUGUAAAGUACUUUAAGUUGGGAGGCGGUACCAGCAGAAUAAGCACCGGCUAACUUCGUGCCAGCAGCCGCGGUAAUUC